GAUUGAACGCUGGCGGCAUGCCUUACACAUGCAAGUCGAACGGCAGCACGGGUGCUUGCACCUGGUGGCGAGUGGCGAACGGGUGAGUAAUACAUCGGAACAUGUCCUGUAGUGGGGGAUAGCCCGGCGAAAGCCGGAUUAAUACCGCAUACGAUCUACGGAUGAAAGCGGGGGACCUUCGGGCCUCGCGCUAUAGGGUUGGCCGAUGGCUGAUUAGCUAGUUGGUGGGGUAAAGGCCUACCAAGGCGACGAUCAGUAGCUGGUCUGAGAGGACGACCAGCCACACUGGGACUGAGACACAGCCCAGACUCCUACGGGAGGCAGCAGUGGGGAAUUUUGGACAAUGGGCGAAAGCCUGAUCCAGCAAUGCCGCGUGUGUGAAGAAGGCCUUCGGGUUGUAAAGCACUUUUGUCCGGAAAGAAAUCCUUGGCUCUAAUACAGUCGGGGGAUGACGGUACCGGAAGAAUAAGCACCGGCUAACUACGUGCCAGCAGCCGCGGUAAUACGUAGGGUGCGAGCGUUAAUCGGAAUUACUGGGCGUAAAGCGUGCGCAGGCGGUUUGCUAAGACCGAUGUGAAAUCCCCGGGCUCAACCUGGGAACUGCAUUGGUGACUGGCAGGCUAGAGUAUGGCAGAGGGGGGUAGAAUUCCACGUGUAGCAGUGAAAUGCGUAGAGAUGUGGAGGAAUACCGAUGGCGAAGGCAGCCCCCUGGGCCAAUACUGACGCUCAUGCACGAAAGCGUGGGGAGCAAACAGGAUUAGAUACCCUGGUAGUCCACGCCCUAAACGAUGUCAACUAGUUGUUGGGGAUUCAUUUCCUUAGUAACGUAGCUAACGCGUGAAGUUGACCGCCUGGGGAGUACGGUCGCAAGAUUAAAACUCAAAGGAAUUGACGGGGACCCGCACAAGCGGUGGAUGAUGUGGAUUAAUUCGAUGCAACGCGAAAAACCUUACCUACCCUUGACAUGGUCGGAAUCCCGCUGAGAGGUGGGAGUGCUCGAAAGAGAACCGGCGCACAGGUGCUGCAUGGCUCUCGCCAGCUCGUGUCGUGAGAUGUUGCCCUUAAGUCCCGCAACGAGCGCAACCCUUGUCCUUAGUUGCUACGCAAGAGCACUCUAAGGAGACUGCCGGUGACAAACCGGAGGAAGGUGGGGAUGACGUCAAGUCCUCAUGGCCCUUAUGGGUAGGGCUUCACACGUCAUACAAUGGUCGGAACAGAGGGUUGCCAACCCGCGAGGGGGAGCUAAUCCCAGAAAACCGAUCGUAGUCCGGAUUGCACUCUGCAACUCGAGUGCAUGAAGCUGGAAUCGCUAGUAAUCGCGGAUCAGCAUGCCGCGGUGAAUACGUUCCCGGGUCUUGUACACACCGC
rnacentral:rRNA from 1 species